CCCUUGCGAUCGGACGGACGAGAUCGGCGGAUCGGAGGGAUGUGUCGGCGGAAGACGAGACACAGCCGACGAGUUGCGCAACGUGGCCUCGCAUCGCGCUCUCCGGUCACCGUAAAACGACAAAGCACAGAGGAGAGAGGGACAUCAUUUCUGAGAGGAAACUGCGGCUCAGACAAUCAAAGAACAAGUAGAAUGAGACUCAGCAAGGAGAGAAACCAAUGCAAGUAUAUACAGAAACGCUUUUGCAGUUCAGAGUUGUUUGCUCCACCAAAUUCAGUGACUGCAUUCUGUGGAGGUUUGAUAUUGACCUCAGUAUGGCACCUUCAGGACUGAAGACAAGCAUUAGGAAAUUUGCACUGCCAAAUCCACAAAUGGAGAGAUCAAUUUAUGCUUUGGGCAAGCUUGAAAACAAGUGAUUAUUGUUGUUGAAGUAUCUCAAGAGAGGCUAAAGUGAUCAUGAAGUUCAUUCACCAUAAAGUUACUGUGGAAAUCAAGAAUCACAUGAGAGGUGAUGGUGAUUGUUGAUGAAGUGAUAGUGUAGUUCACUCACCAUCAAAUCAUAUCAUCUCCAUUUUCCGGAAAACAAGAAAAAUCCAUCAUCCAAUAAUAAUAGCCAUAACCAUUGGGGCACUCUCUGCAAGCAAAGAGCUCCAACCUUCAAAAGAAGACUAAAUACCAAUCUGUUUAGAUGCAAAAAUGGAAGGCAUAGACAGUCAUAUAAUGUAGUUGCAAUAGAGGGUCACAACUGCCGAAACCAUGAUAACCUUCCCGUCGUUUUCCACAUUAAGAUUUCAUGACAAAGAGAUUGACCUUCUCCGCAAGUCAUAUGACCACACAUUGCUCAACUAUCGGCGAGUUCAUCUAGUGCAACUAAUCACUCUUCUAGUCCAUCUAUUCUCAAGAAGCCUGCUUACUCAGAAUGAGACUUCAUCAUUUGGCUGGUGCGAUAUUCCUUCUAGUGCUUCUUCUUUUGUAAUAUUGACAAAACAAGAAAUUCUUCCAAUUAAAUAUUCACCUAAUUAUCUUCAAUUAUGGUAAUUUUCGCCA